rnacentral:rRNA from 1 species
CACGUAGUUAGCCGGUGCUUCUUUACCCAUUACCGUCACUCACGCUUCGUCACAGGCGAAAGCGGUUUACAACCCGAAGGCCGUCAUCCCGCACGCGGCGUUGCUGCAUCAGGCUUCCGCCCAUUGUGCAAUAUUCCCCACUGCCGCCUCCCGUAGGAGUCUGGGCCGUAUCUCAGUCCCAAUGUGGCCGGUCACCCUCUCAGGCCGGCUACCCGUCAAAGCCUUGGUAAGCCACUACCCCACCAACAAGCUGAUAAGCCGCGAGUCCAUCCCCAACCGCCGAAACUUUCCAACCCCCACCAUGCAGCAGGAGCUCCUAUCCGGUAUUAGCCCCAGUUUCCUGAAGUUAUCCCAAAGUCAAGGGCAGGUUACUCACGUGUUACUCACCCGUUCGCCACUCGAGCACCCCACAAAAGCAGGGCCUUUCCGUUCGACUUGCAUGUGUUAAGCACGCCGCCAGCGUUCGUCCUGAGCCAGGAUCAAACUCU